AUGUUAAUUCAGAAAUUUUGGUGGGGCAGCAAAGAUGGACAUCAUAUACCACAUUGGGUCUCGUGGAAGGAAAUGACUGAACCAAAAGGCAUGGGUGGCUUGGGUGUCAAAGAUUUCGAACUGUUCAAUUUGGCCAUGUUAGCGAGGCAAGCAUGGCGUAUGUUGCAAGAUCCAGAGUCAUUGAGUGCCCGUGUGGUAAGGAGUAUUUAUUAUCCAAACUCAUCAAUUUUGCAGGCUACCCUCGAAAACCACCCUAGCCAAAUUUGGAGAGCCAUCAUUGAAGGAAGAGAC
rnacentral:rRNA from 1 species